rnacentral:lncRNA from 1 species
CGUCUCAUGAGGGUGGAUAAAUAAUUAAUCCGCUCAUCUUAGAGUAUUCUAACUCACUUACUAAUUAAUAGCCUCAUUCUAAAUUAAUCAAUAAUUAGAAUUAGCUCAAUUAAAUUAAUAGAUUAAUCUAGACUACCCUUAAAUUGGGUCUGAUUUUAAGCCAAAAUAAUAAUGGCAGUCCAAAUAAAAUUAACUCUAGCCCAAACUAAUUAAAUACAGCCCAUUAUCAAUUUAGAUCUGCAGCCCACAUAAUUAAAAUGAAGGCCCAAUUUUCGGCCCAAAGGGAAAAAAAAUUGAUGGCCCAACACAACUCAAGCCCAACACAUUAACCCUUCUUCCUCAUUUAGCACAGCCGCUUCAUCUCUCUCUCUCUCUCUCUCAAAAUUCGCCCCUCUCUCUCUCUGCCAUAAGUUCCGCCGCCGCGGCUUCGUCUCCGGCGAAGGGCCACCGGCCUCAUCUCCCUCCGACCUAACCAAAUCGCGCCGCCACGAUUCCUCUCUGGAACUCCGGUGAGUCAGCAGCGAGAAGCCACUGCCGCCGCUUCAUCCCCAUUUUUCGGCGACUCAGGGCAGCAACGACGAGGCCGCCGCCGCCUGAAGCCCCAGGUCCUCAGAUCUCUCUCUUCAGUCGCAACCACCGCUACACCUACUCUCUAUUUUUCCAAGGUCAGACGGCAGUAGUGACGCCACCGUCGACCGACACGCCUGGAAGCUCUAUCGCCGGGCGUCGCCGCUGCUGAGGUAACGCCGCCGCCCGGAGUUGCAGCUGCUUUGCCCGAAAUCGAGGUCGCUGGUCUGAUCUCCAGCAGCCCGCCUCGCUCAGAGCCACCGCCGCCGUCGUCAACUGGAGUCUCGGCGGCCGCGGUCUCUCUUGGAUCCGCCGGCGUCGUUGUUGUUCCAGAGUUGACGAGGGACGACAGAUAGCUUCUGCCGACAGCGGCCAGCUCGUUGGAGCUGCCCUUCCCCGGAGUCCGACUCGUUCUCCUCCUUUCUUAAAGCUAAGUUCAACCUCUCUACCUCCCCCUUUUUUUAAUGCUAAGUUAGACUAGUGCAGGGAGUUCUCAUAGAAUCACCACACACACAGAUCAUAGUGAAGUAUCUAAGCAUAUUGUUUUUCUCGAGCAAGUAAACUGCCCGUUAGUAAUAUUCUACCUUUUUAAAGCAUUCCAUGAUUUGUUCUAUCCUGAUGUAAAGUAUAAUGUUGCUAUGGUUAUACAUAUUAUGCCCAUUUGAUACAGUGGUGAAAUGUGAUUAUGCCUCUGAUAUGAAUGCGAACUGAAUGGUUAUUUGAGAUAGUAAAAUACCCCGCUUGUGUUCAACUGAUUGGUUGUUGCUGGAGUUGAGUGAAGUGUGAAAUAACUGAAAUGAACGAUGGUUCACCUUUAAUGCAGGUGAACUAAUCAAAGAGAAUGAAGUUAUUGAAGCCAAGUCUUACCUUGAGAACUUGGCUGAACGAACUGGAGGCUUCUAUGCCCUUUGGAGAGAGUUCUUGGUGG